GACGAACGCGGCGGCGUGCUUAACACAUGCAAGCCGAACGAAGAGCGAUGGAAGCUUGCUUCUAUCAAUCUUAGUGGCGAACGGGUGAGUAACGCGUAAUCAACCUGCCCUUCAGAGGGGGACAACAGUUGGAAACGACUGCUAAUACCGCAUACGAUCUAACCUUGGCAUCGAGGAUGGAUGAAAGGUGGCCUCUAUUUAUAAGCUAUCACUGAAGGAGGGGAUUGCGUCUGAUUAGCUAGUUGGAGGGGUAACGGCCCACCAAGGCGAUGAUCAGUAGCCGGUCUGAGAGGAUGAACGGCCACAUUGGGACUGAGACACGGCCCAGACUCCUACGGGAGGCAGCAGUGGGGAAUCUUCCGCAAUGGACGAAAGUCUGACGGAGCAACGCCGCGUGAGUGAUGACGGCCUUCGGGUUGUAAAGCUCUGUUAAUCGGGACGAAAGGCCUUUC
rnacentral:rRNA from 1 species